rnacentral:rRNA from 1 species
UGGCUCAGGAUGAACGCUGGCGGCGUGCUUAACACAUGCAAGUCGAACGGAGCCUAAGAAGGAAGCUUGCUUUCAUUUUAAGCUUAGUGGCGGACGGGUGAGUAACGCGUGAGCAACCUGCCCCAUAGUGGGGAAUAACACCGAGAAAUCGGUGCUAAUACCGCAUAAUGUCGGAGGACCGCAUGAUCUUCCGACCAAAGGGAUUUAUUCGCUAUGGGAUGGGCUCGCGUCCGAUUAGGCAGUUGGCGGGGUAACGGCCCACCAAACCGACGAUCGGUAGCCGAACUGAGAGGGUGAUCGGCCACAUUGGGACUGAGACACGGCCCAGACUCCUACGGGAGGCAGCAGUGGGGAAUA